AAUGACCCCAACGACUACUUUGACGUGUCUAAUCAUGAGGUGGACAGACAGGACGACCUGGAGUACGAGGAGGUGGAGCUGUACAAGUCCAGUCAGCAGGAGAAGCUGGGUCUGACCGUGUGCUACAGGACGGACGACGAGGAGGACCUGGGGAUCUACGUGGGAGAGGUUAAUCCAAACAGCAUCGCAGCUAAAAACGGACGAAUCCGAGAGGGCGACCGAAUCUUACAGAUUAACGGAGUCGAUAUUCAGAACAGAGAAGAAGCGGUGGCCAUUUUGACCCGAGAGGACAGCAUCAACUUCUCCCUGCUGCUGGC